UUGAGAAACAACUAAGAUCACGAGAAAUAAUAAAGAUAGAAAAAUACAAAACAAAUGCAGGGGUACAGACGCUGGAAUGGAGGUGUGGGGUAAGCAGACUGGUGUUAGGCCUGCUAAAAACCCAAAGUCAUUUUACUUCCAAUAUGCAAAGGGGUGUUCAAGAAAAAUGGUGGUGCAAAUAGUAGGAAUUUGGGCUUAAGGCCCAACCGAGCUCAACAAAAGGAUAACAAUCAGAGUGUCAAGGCUAACUCAUACUCACUUCCACAUCCCCUUAUUCCAACUAAAAAAUGAUUUCCAGUCUUCCCUCCACCGCAUUGGAAAUCGCCUCUAGUGGCGGCUGAGCUUCAAUAGACCUCAACCUCGCAUCAAUGGAAUCAUCCUUGUUCCCUUUCUUUCGUUCUCACGUUAACCUCUAUUAAUUCCUUCUUAACACUUCCAAUCAGAGAAUCAACUCAUAUGAACCCUAAAUUCUAGGUCCCCAAUUAAACAUGAAUUACAAUUGGUUUCAACCUUAGAACUUGGGGCUAAUGUUCCUCUACAUCAAUUCUAUCAUCUGGUAACAAGAAAUAUGAUAAAGCAAGUGAGUUUGAAAGAGGUGCACCAACUUUGGAGUGGUGAAUUGCUCCGGUCAAGAUUGAGAAAUUUGAAGAUGAAGAUGACAAGAAAUCUAGAGGCGCUUCAAAAUAAGUGGUGAAGUGAGGUUUGCAAGCCAUCUAGCAGGGCUAUCAAGAUGAACCUAAACUGAAUUGUGAAUGGUGCAAUUGGUCCAAACUGCAACAGGUUUUUAUGGUUAGUUUUCUUUACUUCGCAAGUUGAGUUUGAAUUUAAAAUGUGAGUUAGGUUAGUAAUAGGAUUGUAGGGCUGUUAGUAAUGAAUUUCCUUAAUUCUAGCUGCUAUGUGUAUGUGGACCCCUGAGCUAUUGAACUAUCUGUAAGACUUUAAUCCUACUGCUAGCGUAUUAGGUUAGUGAACAAAAUUGUGAAUGGGUUAUUCUUUAUUGGACUACCAAAGUUGCUUGAACAUUGAUUGCUACUGUUUUGGAAUUAACCUUGAAUUGUUUGAAGUAUAAAAUCUUGGUGAAUUGUUAUAUGCCUGUUAAAAAUGAGGUUGAUGGACUUAGUAUUGAAUUGUCAUGUUAUGUGUUAAAAUGGACAUGGUUGCCUGUUAGGACAUGUUAGUGGUGUUAGGAAUGGUUGAUUGUUUAUUGUGUUACAUGAUAACACGAAAUUAUAUCAUAUUUUAGGACUUAAUUCAAUUAAAUUUUAUUAUUAUUUAUUUCAGUUCACUUCAUUUUAUUAGAUAUUACGCGGUAUUUUCUUCCUAUUUGUCUCAGGUGGCUUAUUUUGAAGCACAAGUAAAAAUGGAAGAAAAGGAGGUGCAAAAAGGAGAGAAAAUGAACCAAAUGUCAAAGCCCAGUCCAAAACACAAAACGCAGGUGCCGUGCAUGUGACGGACGUCACAGAGGGCGUCACGAGCGUCACGCCUUGCACACUCCUGUGACGGACGUCACACAUGGUGUGACGAACGUCACACCAUUCCCCUACAUUUUUGGCGCAAGGAACGCCUCAGAGACGUUGAGCGUUGAGGGAGUGUUGAGCCCUAUAUCCACGCCAUGCUUUUAUGCACGUUGAAGACCUUUUUGGCAGCGGAAGCGGUUACUCAAGCAUAUAUAAAUAGCCACUUGCAAAACCAAAAAGGGUUCCGAAGCUUUUCCACAUUUUUUCCUUUGCCGUUUUCGCUUUUGCACAUUUUCUUUUCCAGCAACUUAAGUAGUAUUGUUUCUUUAUUAUUUUUACGAGUUCUACACUAUCUCCCUUGCAAUUUCUAUUUUCCUUUUUCCUUUUUAGCAUUUAGUUAAUUCUUUUCGCACAAUAGUUUCUACACCGGAAACUAUUGUGCACCUUUUUACCGGAUCUAACCUUACGUUAGAAUCUAGCUUUAUUUCCUUCGUUUUAAUUUGUUGUUUAAUUGAAGAAUCCAAGAACAAAUCCUACCGGCUUGUGGUGGAGUGUUCAAGACUAUUGUUUAACUCAUUCAGGUUCUUUAAUUAUUAUUUAAUGCUUUGUUUUAUUAUUUA